rnacentral:rRNA from 1 species
UACAGAGGUCUCGAGCGUUAUGCGGAAUCACUGGGCUUAAAGCGUGUGUAGGCGGAUGCCUAAGUACCUUGUGAAAUCCCACAGCUUAACUGUGGAACUGCUUGGUAUACUGGGUGUCUUGAGCCACUCAGGGGCGAGCGGAACAAAUGGUGGAGCGGUGAAAUGCGUAGAUAUCAUUUGGAACGCCAAUGGUGAAAACAGCUCGCUGGGGGUGUGCUGACGCUGAGACACGAAAGCCAGGGGAGCGAACGGG